rnacentral:tRNA from 1 species
GCGCUGCAUUCGGUAGUGGCAACCAAACUGGUCUGUAAAACCAGCGCCUUAUAAAGGCUUCAGGGUUCGAGUCCCUGGCAGCGCA